rnacentral:rRNA from 1 species
UACGAAGGGGGGCUAGCGUUGCUCGGAAUCACUGGGCGUAAAGCGCACGUAGGCGGAUUUUUUAAGUCAGGGGGUGAAAAUCCUGGAGCUCAACUCCAGAACUGCCUUUGAUACUGGGAAUCUCGAGUCCGGAAGAGGUGAGUGGAACUGCGAGUGUAGAGGUGAAAUUCGUAGAUAUUCGCAAGAACACCAGUGGCGAAGGCGGCUCACUGGUCCGGUACUGACGCUGAGGUGCGAAAGCGUGGGGAGCGAACAGG